rnacentral:rRNA from 1 species
UCAAGAACAUUCGACAAUGGGCGAAAGCCUGAUCGAGCGACGCCGCGUGCAGGAAGAAGAACUUCGGUUUGUAAACUGCUUUUCAUGAUGAUAAAGUCGCAAGACUGAUACUAGUCAUGGAAUAAGGAGCGGCUAACUUCGUGCCAGCAGCAGCGGUAAUACGAAGGCUCCAAGCGUUAUCCGGAUUUAUUGGGCGUAAAGAGUGAGUAGGGGGUCUGAUGCGUUUAUUGUUAAAUUUCGACGCUUAACGUCGGAACCGCAAUAAAUACGAUCAGACUAGAGUGUGUUAGAGGUUUAUAGAACGCACGGUGUAGGGGUGAAAUCCGUUGAUAUCGUGCGGAAUACCAAAGGCGAAGGCAUUAAACUAGAACAUCACUGACCCUCAAUCACGAAAGCGUGGGGAGCAAAAAGG